rnacentral:rRNA from 1 species
GGGGGAAUCUUGCGCAAUGGGCGAAAGCCUGACGCAGCCAUGCCGCGUGAAUGAUGAAGGUCUUAGGAUUGUAAAAUUCUUUCACCGGGGACGAUAAUGACGGUACCCGGAGAAGAAGCCCCGGCUAACUUCGUGCCAGCAGCCGCGGUAAUACGAAGGGGGCUAGCGUUGCUCGGAAUUACUGGGCGUAAAGGGAGCGUAGGCGGAUAGUUUAGUCAGAGGUGAAAGCCCAGGGCUCAACCUUGGAAUUGCCUUUGAUACUGGCUAUCUUGAGUGUGGGAGAGGUAUGUGGAACUCCGAGUGUAGAGGUGAAAUUCGUAGUAUAGUUACGGAAGAACA